ACUUGCCCUUGGGGGGUGGGGCGGUGGAGCGGGUCACAGGUUAUUACAUAUGUUACCACAUUUUUUGCUUCAAAUUCUUUUUCCUAUUUUUCUCCUCUAAAACCUAGUUGUGUCUUAUGGCUCCAGUGCAUCUUAUAGUCCUAAAUAUAUGGUAAAUGUCAGCUUUGACCACUGGUAGCCCUCUACAGCACUGAUAUUAAUUCACCAGUGUCGGUCAAAAAAGACCCAUUCCUGCUGUCUUUUCUUCUCCCCCCGCCCCGCCCCUUCUCUGGCCCCAAGAAACAGUUAGUUGAGGAGAUACUGCUGGCAGAGGGAAACACUGUCUAAGCUCUCCCCUAGCCAGAGCGCAGACUCCGACCUUUAUCAGGCUCUCUGUAAAGACAGGCAGACAGAUGCUUUCAGCUUAAUCAAAAUUCGAGAGUCGUUUACUAUCACAGUGGACUGGACAUAAUAAUUACUAAACAGGGACUCUUUGAGAUGAGAAGUGAACAUGGGACUCCUUAUUAUCUAAGUUAUGAAACCUACCCUGAACAUAAUUGACAGGCAGAGACAAAUUAACGUCCUUUAGUGCAAGAUUAAAGGGAGAGUGGUAGAGGAAAAUGAAGUUGUUUUAUGAUGGCGCCCUUGGAGCCUUGCUCUCUGAACAAAACGGCUAUGAGCCCCUUCUGUCAUUAGGAAGAGAAGCGCAGAACUCAUUUAGCAAGUUGUGCUCAGCUCUUCAAAAUAUCGUUAAGAUAGUUUUGUCACUAGGAUAUAUUUUCAGAAGUCACUUACUGCAUUGCUUUUUAAAAAAUAGUUAAAUUUCAACCCAUUUCCCCACCUCCAAUCUGGUAUUUCAUUAUGAACAAAUCAUAUUUAAUGAAU